rnacentral:rRNA from 1 species
GACGUCAAAGCGUAUACAAAGUCGAGUCGGUUUAAGGAUACGUUCGUUGGGUAGGGGAGCGUUCUGUAAGCCUGUGAAGGUGGCCUGUGAGGGUUGCUGGAGGUAUCAGAAGUGCGAAUGCUGACAUAAGUAACGAUAAAGCGGGUGAAAAGCCCGCUCGCCGGAAGACCAAGGGUUCCUGUCCAACGUUAAUCGGGGCAGGGUGAGUCGACCCCUAAGGCGAGGCCGAAAGGCGUAGUCGAUGGGAAACGGGUUAAUAUUCCCGUACUUGGUGUUACUGCGAAGGGGGGACGGAGAAGGCUAUGUUGGCCGGGCGACGGUUGUCCCGGUUUAAGCGUGUAGGUGUGUGUUCCAGGUAAAUCCGGUUCACUUUAACACUGAGGCGUGACGACGAGGCACUACGGUGCUGAAGCAACAAAUGCCCUGCUUCCAGGAAAAGCCUCUAAGCAUCAGGUAACAUCAAAUCGUACCCCAAACCGACACAGGUGGUCAGGUAGAGAAUACCAAGGCGCUUGAGAGAACUCGGGUGAAGGAACUAGGCAAAAUGGUGCCGUAACU